rnacentral:rRNA from 1 species
AGUCACUGACAUUAGAUACCCGGGUAGUCCCAGCCGUAAACAAUGUGCGUUAGGUGUGUCGGUAACCACGUGUUACUGAUGCGCCGAAGAGAAAUCGUGAAACGCACCACCUGGGAAGUACGGUCGCAAGGCUGAAACUUAAAGGAAUUGGCGGGGAGCACCACAACAGGUGGAGCCUGCGGUUUAAUUGGAUUCAACGCCGGACAUCUCACCGGAUAAGACAGCUGAAUGAUUGUCAAUCUGAAGGUUUUACAUGACUGGCUG